rnacentral:rRNA from 1 species
UGGGGAAUAUUGCACAAUGUGCGCAAGCCUGAUGCAGCCAUGCCGCGUGUGUGAAGAAGGCCUUCGGGUUGUAAAGCACUUUCAGCGGGGAGGAAGGCGUUAAGGUUAAUAACCUUGGCGAUUGACGUUACCCGCAGAAGAAGCACCGGCUAACUCCGUGCCAGCAGCCGCGGUAAUACGGAGGGUGCAAGCGUUAAUCGGAAUUACUGGGCGUAAAGCGCACGCAGGCGGUCUGUCAAGUCGGAUGUGAAAUCCCCGGGCUCAACCUGGGAACUGCAUUCGAAACUGGCAGGCUAGAGUCUUGUAGAGGGGGGUAGAAUUCCAGGUGUAGCGGUGAAAUGCGUAGAGAUCUGGAGGAAUACCGGUGGCGAAGGCGGCCCCCUGGACAAAGACUGACGCUCAGGUGCGAAAGCGUGGGGAGCAAACAGG